rnacentral:rRNA from 1 species
CCUACGGGCUGCACCAGUGGGGAAUCUUGGACAAUGGGCGAAAGCCCGAUCCAGCAAUAUCGCGUGAGUGAAGGAGGGCAAUGCCGCUUGUAAAGCUCUUUCGUCGAGUGCGCGAUCAUGACAGGACUCGAGGGAGAAGCCCCGGCUAACUCCGUGCCAGCAGCCGCGGUAAGACGGGGGGGGCAGGUGUUCUUCGGAAUGACUGGGCGUAAAGGGCACGUAGGUGGUGAAUCGGGUUGAAAGUGAAAGUCGCCAAAAACUGGCGGAAGACUCUCGAAACUAAUUCACUUGAGUGAGACAGAGGAGAGUGGAAUUUCGUGUGUAGGGGUGAAAUCCGGAGAUCUACGAAGGAACGCCAAAAGCGGAGGCAGCUCUCUGGGUCCCUACCGACGCUGGAAUGCGAAAGCAUGGGGAGCGAACGGGAUUAGAUACCCGCGUAGUC